rnacentral:lncRNA from 10 species
CACGAUGAUCUCUGUGGUCAGGGACCACGCAGAAGACUCACAUCAUGUUGGUGGUGGGCCCAACAAUAUGUCACAAUGUUUUCUGAGAAGAAGGUCAAGGAAAGACAGACCUGGAAAUACCCCAGUAAAAGGCUAAUCAGAAUCUCAGAAAAAUUGCAACCAUUAGUCCUUUAUCUACCUAUGACCUGGCAGCUCCCGCCCUGCUUCGAGUUCUCCCACUUUCCUGGACAAUGUACACCUUCCAUAUAUCGAUUAAUGUCUCCUGACUCCUAAAAUGUAUAAAAUCAAGCUGUGACCCAACCACCUUAGGCCCGCGUUGUCACGACCUCGUGAGGCGGUGUCACGGGUGUGUCUUUAAUCUUGGCAAAAUAAACUUUCUAAAUUGA